AACAAAAAUUUCACUAAAAUUCUUUUCCCUCCCAUGGAACCUUAGACGUAUCUUUGCUUAUACUGUUUAUUCUUCGUUUUCUCGGCUUAAGCUUAUAAUUUUCUCUCUCCAAAAUCAAAAACCCAAAACUUCUCUUAGUUUUUAAUCUCCCUAACCGAAACCCAACUUUGAAUCUGAAUGAUUUUUAUUCGACAAAAAAAAAUCACCAAUAACAACCAGGUUUCUUCUCAUUAAAAACCCUAAAAAAAACCCGAAAAUAAUUUGAUUUCUCAGUCAAAAUCUUUAACCGAACCUGACUUCAGAUUGAUGCUCCGUAUGUUGUUUUCUGAAUUACCCCAUAAAAGGUUUUCGUAUUCAAAUCAUUUACAAAUUACGAUUUUCUAUCUAAUGAAGGAAAUCAGAAUUUAUCCAAUUGUAACGGUUGAACUCCAUUAACCUGGCGUGGGUUUCGGUUGUUUGAAGGAUUCGAUGUUUGAGAAUCUAUCUGUAGCUCAAACUAAACUACUCUUAAGAGUUUCUCUCAGAUUUGACAGAAUAUGCUUUUCUCUGCUGACAAUUGGUUCCAUAUCAAAUGGAGUCUGGAUUCUUAACAAGGAUGUUUGAAAGAGGAAAGAGGAUUACCGACCAGUUGAUAUGGCUUUGCUUAGUGUCCCCUUGACAGGACAGGAGUGACUCAAGCAUUAGAUUUUGUCGUUGUUGGUAUGGGAGUUGUAACUGGAACAAGGGUGUUCUGCUAAACCAAUCUUUUCUCUUCAUGACAAAAUUGUUGUGUGAAACUUCUUCCGUAGUUGCAUUCGAUCCAUCGCUGGAUACAGGGAUCAUCCCUUGGUGUUGGUGUUGCAUUUAGUUCAUUUUUAUGUGUCUAGGAACUCUAGGUGUUGGUGUUGUUACCUGUUAUUGGAAUUCACUGUAGUGGUGAAGUACCUCAAGCAUCCAGGGAAGUUUUCAUGCCUUGGCGGAAAGCUGCUCAAUCCCCAAGAGAUGUGCAGUUUGGGAGAAUAACAGGUCUCAUAUUGAAGGGGUACAUUGUUUUAUUAGCAGCAGUUGUAUGGUGAAGAUUACCAUGUUGAGUUGCCUUUUUGAAGCUCUGGCCUAGUUGGCAGAAGUAAUACUCUAAACUAGCUAGCUGCAUUGGUUAUAAAUGCAUACCCUAUCAGCCACUUAGGACCUGCCAUUCUGCCUCUUUGUGAAGACAGUAGCGUUCGUAGCAUUCAACAAGGUUAUUACAACCCAAUACUUCGUGUGGUUCUUCUGCUUGUUGCCUUUAAUACUUCCAUGGAGCAGUAUGAAACUGUAGUGGGAAGGGUUGUCAUUACAUUAUAUUGUGAGAUGUAUCAUCGUGCGUGUGCAUUUGAAUCACCUUGAAUACUUUAACAGGCAGUUCAGAUAUCGUCUAACGGUGUUCAUAAAGAACCCUAGGGCAGUAUAAUUCUCUUAAGAUCUACUGUGAAAUAUGUGGGCAUGACACUCUGAUUAUAAACAAAAACAGGCUUUGGUAGUAACGAUUGCACUUUAAUUUUGUUAUGCAUGAGGUAUCUGUUAUAGAUGAGAAUCCAAAAGAGGAGAUGCUAAAACUGUAGCCGCCAAAAAUAUGGAAAUGAUCAAUCUAGUCGAUAAGGAGUUAUUUCUGUGUAUAUCGGAUGAUAAGCAUAUUUGGCCGAUCUAAACGUCGCUGGGUAUUUCUGUGUGUUUUACCGCACGUUGGAAUUCACACGCGUGUACUUAACUGGCUAUUUUAACAGUGAGGCAUUUUUCCAUCUCUUUUGACGUUGGGGAAGUUCUCCAACAUGGCAUCCCGUAUAAGGACAUUUUUCCAAUUUUCCCAAUUUUAUUUUGUUUGGAAUUGGCAUUGCCUCCGUUUUGAUUGGUGUAUUUAAAAAAAGGAAAUAUUUACUUCAUUAUAUAAUUUGGAGUACAUGUCAUCUUUUAACCGGACAUACAAUAAGUUCAAUUCAUUUUCGUCUUGUAGACCUGGAUGUAUUGAACAUCUUAUUCAGGAUGACAUGAACAGAUCUGUAACUUCCAUUACAUAAUCAGAAAAAUGUA